UGGCAUGGAACCUUCGUCGGAGCUCUUGCCGUCGGUUGCCCAUUUUUCCGGAGAUUGUUUGAUUUCCGUUAUCGGCGUCUCUGUGGACUUGGGAUGAACUGCGUUGAUUUCUGUAAGGGCGAUGGAUAGUAUCCUUGCGUCUGCGUGUGACUGAAAGGGUGUAAUAGGGCUAAAUGUCCAAGUUGUAUCUAUUCCUAGCUAAUAACCUCCUUGAUGAUCUAUCUCGCAGUUCGGCACUGUCGCUGCUCUGUCGACCGUGGCCUCGACCUGGAUGAUGGCCGGCAACGCAAACGCCGCGACUGAACUUGCAACUCUGGCUGCCAACGACAACCGCCUGGGCAUCAUUGCAACCCUGUUUGUUCCUGCUCUGGGCUGGGUGGCCUUCAACAUUCUGGGCGGUCUGCAGGCGCAGCUGGACCAGAUGAGCGCUAAGAGCGACCCCAAGCGCAAGCGAGCUGUGCCAGCUGCGAUUGGCCUGGGAGCCGCUGCCACGCUGCUGGCUGCACAGUCUGCAGAGGCUUCGACUGAGCUCGCAACUCUGGCUGCCAACGACAACCGCCUGGGCAUCAUUGCAACCCUGUUUGUCCCUGCCCUGGGCUGGGUGGCCUUCAACAUUCUGGGCGGUCUGCAGGCGCAGCUGGACCAGAUGGGCGCUA
rnacentral:lncRNA from 1 species